UAGAAGCCUUGUGUUUCUUUCUAGGUUGCACUGUAUGUGUUCUUCAUUUGGCUGGCUCUCCUGAUUUAUGUCCUUUGUAAUACAACUGUAAUCAUAGUUCAACACAACUGACCUGCAUUCCUUCUUAAUAAGAGACCAGCAACUAUGGAGUGAUUCUGGACAGUCUACAGAGGAUCCACAUUAAGUAUCUUCCUGUCUUCUCUUUCACGUUUUUUAGACAGCCAAAAACUCCACCCUUGGACCCAUGAAGAGGCAUGAGGCCCAAUUGUGCCUGUGCACGUUUCUCCUUUUGGAAAUAUUUAUGACAUUCAUGACUCCUUCUAUAGCUCAUUGAAUAUGUAUAUGUAGCUACCCAUUCAGCAUACAUCUGUCUUAUUCUUCUGAGCCUCCUCA
rnacentral:lncRNA from 1 species